rnacentral:rRNA from 1 species
CUAGCAUUACUAGUAUUAGAGGCACUGCCUGCCCAGUGACAUGCGUUUAACGGCCGCGGUAUCCUGACCGUGCAAAGGUAGCAUAAUCAUUUGUUCCUUAAAUAGGGACUUGUAUGAAUGGCUCCACGAGGGUUAGACUGUCUCUUACUUCCAAUCAGUGAACUUGACCUUCCCGUGAAGAGGCGGGAAUAAUAUAAUAAGACGAGAAGACCCUAUGGAGCUUAAAUCUACUUGGCUUAAGCAUUAUUAUUUUCUUCCCCACAGGAACUAACAUAUUUGCCUACUAAGCCUAAGAUUUUGGUUGGGGUGACCUCGGAGCAUAAAACAACCUCCGAAUGAUUUUAGCCUUGACUCAACCAGUCUAAGCAUCUAUUCAUUAAUUGACCCAAGCUUAUUGAUCAACGGAACAAGUUACCCUAGGGAUAACAGCGCAAUCCUACCCAAGAGUUCAUAUCGACAGUAGGGUUUACGACCUCGAUGUUGGAUCAGGACAUCCAAGUGGUGCAACCGCUACUAAUGGUUCGUUUGUUCAACGAUUAAAGUCCU